GACAGAGGGUGCAAACGUUGUUCGGAAUUACUGGGCGUAAAGCGCACGUAGGCGGCUUUUUAAGUCAGGGGUGAAAUCCCGGGGCUCAACCCCGGAACUGCCCUUGAAACUGGAGAGCUAGAAUCUUGGAGAGGCGAGUGGAAUUCCGAGUGUAGAGGUGAAAUUCGUAGAUAUUCGGAAGAACACCAGUGGCGAAGGCGACUCGCUGGACAAGUAUUGACGCUGAGGUGCGAAAGCGUGGGGAGCAAACAGG
rnacentral:rRNA from 1 species